GAAAGGGCAAAAUCAUUGAAAGGUGAUGACGCAAAGCUAGAGGGGCUACUGUCAUUUGACUACGCCAGCCAGUUUCCGA
rnacentral:ncRNA from 1 species